GUCAUCCACCAUGUCUGCACCUCUAAAUUCAAUCUUUUCUUCCAUCUCAUGUAACCACCGCCUCUUCUGUGCUCGCCGCGGAUCCCAAAAUACAGUUCUCAGCACUCAUCAUGAUUCCGCGUUUUCGAGCUUUAAUCAUGGAUACGUCUUAUUAGCUGAGAAGCAAAGCUUGCAGUUGUCCAGAGCUAGUUGGACAGUCAACACCAGACGCAUUACAAAGAUGGAGAUGAUGAUGAUGAUGCGAGCCUCCAACAAUGAUCAACCACAAUCUCCAGUACUACUCCCACCUAAACCUCCUUUUCCUGCUUGGGUAUGUUCGAUUUUGCGAUCCACAUUAUCCAUACUUGUACCGGCUUGGAAGGACAAAUGGGAAUAACUAAUCAGAAUAGAAGGUGAGUUCAAAGCGGCCGUGGAUGCAGUAGGGAAAGUUGCACAAGACGCAGAAGAGAUUAUAGAGUCGGUGGAGGGUGAGCUUCCUGAAGGUGGACCGCUGAAGAAAGUAGUAUCAGCUGUUGGAAAUGCAACUAAAGAAAUAGUCAAGGACACCCAGAUCACAAAUGACCUCAUCAACAAGGUAGAAAAAGUGGAGAAGGAUGUAAAAGAUAUUAUCCAGCCAGUGGUGGAUGAACUAAAGGACCUGGACAAUAAUGAGCCAGGAGGCAUUAAUGAGGAACAGCAAACAGGGUGAAACAAAAGGAUCUGUAUUUAAGGUUUUUUUUUUUUUCAGGAAAGCACUGAGUGGCUAAUCCUAUGCACGAAUCAAAUACGUUUCUCCUGGAAAGUAGAAAGAAAUAAAUAAGGGAUGAAGAAAAGGACUUCCUUGAAUUUAUCAUUUACCUCAAAAAAUAAUGUAUUUAGGGUCAGUAGGAAUACGAGUACAAAU